UUUAUUCAAUGUGUGAUGUUCUUUUCUGUAUAUUUUUGUUUCAUAUGAUGACUUUGCUAACAUUAAUCCUCUGUAAGAAACUGAUUCAUGAGAAAUUUGAUCUCAUUAACAAAUGUGAGAGUAAAUUUUGCAUGAGGAAAUUUUGAUCUCCAUUCAUCUCACAGUAAAAAUGGAUGUCAAAAAUAGUCAACAAGGGUUUUUGGAGAACUUUCAGCACAAGCAAAUUUGCUAGUAAAAACCAAGGGUAUUUCACCAUUGUUCAAGAGGAAGUUCUGCUUAUAACCAAAAAUAGUGCAAUAAUUACACAAGUCAUACAAAAGCACAUAUGGUUCUUGGCCACUAGUCAAUGUUAAGGUGCUAUGCGGAGUUGAAUUGUAUCAGGACUUUCACAAUGUUUUGUAUUCAAUCAAACUGCCUUUUUGUACAUAAAAUUAGAUAAAUUUUCUCAGCUAUAAUUCUCAGUGUUAAUAACAUUAAUAUAUACAAUAUUCACUUAGUUUUGUGUAUGUUUUUAGCUAUUGAACUUCAUUUGAGCAGCUUCCAACAAUAAAGAACAUUUCUGUA